rfam:Penicillium subrubescens strain CBS 132785 PENSTBscaffold_567, whole genome shotgun sequence.
UCCCAUAUGGUCUAGAGGUUAGGAUCACCCGCUUUCACCGGGUAGGCCCGGGUUCGAUUCCCGGUAUGGGAA